UACGGAGGGUGCAAGCGUUAUCCGGAUUCACUGGGUUUAAAGGGUGCGUAGGUGGGCAAGUACGUCAGUGGUGAAAUCUCCGGGCUUAACCCGGAAACUGCCAUUGAUACUAUUUGUCUUGAAUACUGUGGAGGUCAGCGGAAUAUGUCAUGUAGCGGUGAAAUGCUUAGAUAUGACAUAGAACACCAAUUGCGAAGGCAGCUGACUACACAAAUAUUGACACUGAGGCACGAAAGCGUGGGGAUCAAACAGG
rnacentral:rRNA from 1 species